rnacentral:lncRNA from 1 species
CGCCAUCAAACCGGGGAAACUCCAGUCGUGUGACACGAGGUAUCACCAUCAUAGAGUUCUCCAUAGAAGGAACCAAUGUCCUUUCCUUGAAAGGAGUAGGAAGAAGGGGGCGAUUUUUAUCGGAACUGGAGGCGGAUGUAUCUACGGACGGUGCUUGCGGUUGCACAUCCAUUUUUGUGUUCAUAGCGAUAAUUAAAUUUUUAAGAUCGUUAAUGGAAUCGCUAAUGGACUUUACCUCGGUCUCCAGUUUGUUUAAUCGAAUAUCAACGUUGUUCAUUUCCUCCCUUCGUACGAACUCUCCGUCCAUCUUUCGUAAUAAUUUCCGUUGUGCUCAAGUCAGGACCAUACAAGCUCUGAUACCAAAUGGUACGGUCCUACCGUAUUAAUAGGGAUAAACGAUCACUUCGAGGGGAUCGAACCUCCUAAAAAAUUGAGAAGUAGAGAGAAGAGGUAGAAAGAGAAGACAAGAUAUGAGAAAAAAGAGACAAUAUUACUUUCUUAUUUCUUGUAACUCCGGAUUACAUUAUAUAGAGUCCAAAUCCUUAAACUACUCCUAAUCAUAUCUAAUAAAUCUAUUCCCAAACAAGAUAACCGUCUAUUCCUAAAUAUAUUCCUAAAUAACAAAAUAUUUAAAUUUAAACUUGUUUAUUAAAAAGAAACUAUUAAAAAGAA